UUUAGAGUUUUUAUUUUUUUGCUUACAACAAAGAAUUUUUUAACUCUUUUU
rnacentral:tRNA from 1 species